rnacentral:snRNA from 1 species
UAUCAAAUCUGCUACAUUUAUCACCCCAUUGAUAGCCAGGAUUGAUUUGGCUGAUCCAGCUGGCUUGGAGAGUGUCCCCUUUCUCCUUUCCACUCAUGUGCAUUCCUCCCAAAGCUGCAUGCUGAGUGGAAGAGGAUUUUCUUCCCAAUAGAGAAGGACGGUUCUUUGGUUAAGGGUGUAUGAGUAGCUGCACUCCUCUGCUAGAACUUCCAAACAAUCUCUCUGGAAUAAUGGCAGGUAUAAAGUUACACAGAAUUUUGUCAAGUACAUUGUUGUAGAUUAUGCACACAAUCUUGUGUGUCUU